AUCAGUCUUAAACUCUUUAAUCAACCUGUACCUCAGUCUUCCAAUUUGUAAAAUGGGCACAAUACUGGUAACUUACUUGGAACAGAGCCUGGCACCUACUACGUUCUGUUAGCUCAUAUUAUUACAUUUAAUUGUCCACUCUUGGGUGGUACGAAUGCUUACCAAAUGGGGGCUCAAACCAAGAGCAUCUAGGACAGAAUCUGACUUCUUGCCAGUGGGUACUGCCCUAAUGGUGCGGUGUACGCGCCCCUCUGGGCAGGGCCUGGAAGCGGGAGCGGAAGGCGGAAGUGCGCCGUCCCUGCGGAGAGCGAGGCGGUGCGGAGAGGAAGAGGCACACGGCGUGGGAGGAAGGGGGGAGGAAGGGGGGAGGAGCGGAAGGGUGGAAGCCAGGGACCGUGGCGUGAAGAGGGAGCAGCGAGAGCGCGCGAGAAGGCAGCGGUCUGGGGGCGUGGCCUGGCAUGGGGGCGUGGCCCGGAGCGCGGUGCGGGACGCGGCGCGGGCACGUCGGGCUCCCGGCUUCCGCUCAGUCCCUGCCAGCGUGGGCCGCUGCACAGGUCCGCUUCUUCCGCGGGGCAGAGGGCGCGGCGCCAGGCGGCCUGCGGGUCCCGGCGCGCCCCGGGUGGAGUCCGGACCCCGAGGAUCACUCGGGAGCGAGUGCGCUCCCCUUUUCCGGGGAAGGCCCGGCCGGGCAGGGGCCAUCCACAUAACUGCCACAGGAGGAAUCUCCAAUAUGCAGGGACAAGAUAAACACCUGUUCUUCAUCAGGCGCUGGAACACCCUCUGGCUAUAUCCUCAGGUCCAGUUUUUCCACUCUGUGCAGCAUCGUUCAGAGCCCCUCCAUCUUCUCCGGCAGGAGAUCAGGAAGACCAGAGGUCAUGAGGGCAAUGACUAUCUAAUGGAUGAGGGCGAAGGGCAGCCAGUGUGGGGAGCGGGGCGUGCCAUUCUCUCUUGCCUCUGGGUCUUGGGGGCACAGCCUCAGCUUCUUUCUGAGUUGCCGCUACCCUAGAAAAAUGUCUUUUCCACCAAGGGACAGCCUUGGCACCCAUCUUUUCUCCCCUUCCUCUCACUUCCGGCUCUGCCCUUCCCUGUGCUGACCGUGGCCAUCUGGCACCCUCCACUGGGUUCAGAUACACCAAAGAAGCCAAGUAAAGAGUUGAAACAGGCAACAAGAGCAACAAAUAACAAGGACAGCUGACAUUGUUCACCAGCUGCCAGCUAACUGCGUGCUUUAUCUCAGUUCUUCAGACAACCUGAUUGUCCUCAUUUCACGCAAGGAGAUUCUAAAGCUCAGCGACAGAGCCUGUAAGGCACUCGUCUGAGACCACAUGUAGGAGGUGGUAUGGCCAGAAUUGAAAGCCAGGGAGCGGGGCUUCCAAUGCAGUGUUUUUAACGCUGACCAUCUCAGUCUACUUAUUUUGCAGAAAGCGAAUCAAAGAUGUGGGAAGAGCCCACAGUGGGAUUAUUAGGAACAGGUUAUUGCCAUGGACAACUGGGACCAAAGAAAGGGACUCCGAGGGAGCAGUUACAGAGGCAGGAGAGGAAGCAGAAGGGAGAGUCUCAAGAAGGAGGAUAAUCAAUGUCAAAUGUGCAGAAAGGACAAAUAUAAUUUUUCCGUGUCUGUCUUCCAUCCAGGCCCAAGCUGAGAAGAGAAGGUGAUGUGAAAAUGAAACAGAGAGAUCUGAGGAUGCUGACCUUGAUGACUGGAGCCAUGUGCCUACUGGCAGCCAUCAGAAGCCAGAAGAGGCAAGGAACACAUUCUCUCCUCGACUGUGGGGUAAGCCCGACUCUGCCAACCCUUUGAUUUUGGCCCACUGGUACUGAUUUUGAACUUCCAACCGCCAGAACCAUAGGAAAAUAAAUUUCUGUGCUUUUAAGUCAGGCAGUGGGGCUUCCACUGUCCCCUAAACACCACACAAAUUGAUGAUAAUUUGUUACAGCAACCACAAGAAAAUGAAUAUAAGGGUAUCACGAAUACACAUUUGUAGGUUAAAGCCCAGCACUAUUAAAAAAUGCUUGGUCUCCAUAUUUGCGGUUCAGUGACUUAGGGGUAUAGGAAUGGGGGUGUAGCUCAAAAAUUCAAAUUCAUUAUUUUAGGGAGGCAGUAUUUUGCUACUAUUCUUUCAUACUCCUGAAUCCCUGUCCCUCCAUGCUCAAAGCACCUAAGGCCAGAAUCUUCUUCUGUGGGCAUUAGAGGAAUUCAUUGAGUUUGUUAAUUCGUGCCUUCUCAGGGGUGUUUGCAUUUUAAAAAGAC